rnacentral:rRNA from 1 species
AUUGAACUCUGGCGGCAGGCCUAACACAUGCAAGUCGCGCGAGCGGCGGACGAGUGAGUAAUAGCUGGGUAACUGCCUGAUGGCGGUGGCUACCUACUGGAAACGGUAGCUAAUCCCACAUAACAUUCUAUGUGCCUCGAUGGGAUUAGCUAGUGGGGUGGGUAAAGGCCCACCUAGCCGACGCUCCCUAGCUGGUCUGAGAGGAUGACCAGCCACACUGGAACGGAGACACGGGCCAGACUCCUACGGGAGGCAGCAGUGGGGAAUAUUGCACAAUGGGCGCAAGCCUGACGCAGCCAUGCCGCGUGUGUGAAGAAGGCCUUCGGGUUGUAAAGCACUUUCAGCGGGGAGGCGUUAACCGCAGAAGAAGCACCGGCUAACUCCGUGCCAGCAGCCGCGGUAAUUC